rnacentral:rRNA from 1 species
GCAAGUCGAGGGGUAACGGAAGUAGCUUGCUACUAGACGACGACCGGCGCACGGGUGAGUAACGCGUAUGUAAUCUGCCUUGUACAGAGGGAUAGCCCAGAGAAAUUUGGAUUAAUACCUCAUAGUAUUACUGGAUCGCAUGAUUUGGUAAUUAAAGCUCCGGCGGUACAAGAUGAACAUGCGUGACAUUAGUUAGUUGGUAAGGUAACGGCUUACCAAGGCUACGAUGUCUAGGGGUUCUGAGAGGAUGAUCCCCCACACUGGUACUGAGACACGGACCAGACUCCUACGGGAGGCAGCAGUGAGGAAUAUUGGUCAAUGGACGCAAGUCUGAACCAGCCAUCCCGCGUGAAGGAUGACUGCCCUAUGGGUUGUAAACUUCUUUUAUAUGCAAAUAAACCUACUUUCGUGAAAGUAGCUGAAGGUAGCAUAUGAAUAAACACCGGCUAACUCCGUGCCAGCAGCCGCGGUAAUACGGAGGGUGUAAGCGUUAUCCGGAUUUAUUGCGUUUAAAGGGUACG